ensembl:lncRNA
AUGGGUUACAAUGAACUUUUUUUUUGCUUUUGGUUUUUAAAACUUUAUUUCAACAUAACUAUACUUACAGAAAUAUACUCAUGGGUUAAUAGAAUGCAGUUUGACUUAACCAACACACUUGGGAUCCAAAACCUGGUACAUGGUUUGCUUCAAAGAAAAAAAGGACUUAGUGGUAAUUCACAUUUAACAAAUUAUCUGAUUCUUGUGUGUGUGUUUAUGUAGGUUCAUUCCUCGCUCUCUUCCUCUCUUUCCCUCUCUUCCUUCCUUCUUCUUUUUAUAUUUUCUUCUUCCAAUGACAUUUAUAUUUUCCUUGUUUCCCAGUGGGUCAUUUACACUUCCCUCUCCCCCACCCUCACCCUCCUUUUAAUUUUUUCCAUUUUUUUAUUGUGCUAAAAUACAUUUAGCAUAAAAUAUACCAUCUUAACCAUCUUAGGUAUACAAUUAGUAUUAAGUACGUUCAUAAUAUUGAUGAACUGUCACCAUCACCCAUCUCUGUAACUCCUUCCAUUUUGUAAAGCUGAGACUCUUUACCCAGUAAAUAAUAACUCCCCAUUCACCUUCCCUCACCCAGCCUCUGGCAACCAUCUCUCCAUUGCUUUCCAGUUCUGUAUAACUGGAGUCAUACAGUAUUUGUCUUUUUGUGACUGACUUAUUUUACUUAGAGGAAUCUCUUCAAGAUUUACCCAUGUUGUAACAUGUUGCAGAAUACCCUUCCUUUUAAAGAAUGAAUGAUAUUCCAUUGUAUGUAUAUACCUUGUUUUAUUUAUGCAUUCACCUGUCAGUGGACACUUAGAUUGCCUUCUCAUUUUUUCUUUUAUUAGUAGUGUUGCUAUGAGUGAGUAUACAAAUAUCUUCUCAAGACCUUGCUUUCAACUUUUUGGGGUAUGUACCCAGAAGAAGAAUUGCUGGAUAACAUUCUAUUUUAAUUUUUGUGGAACCAUACUGUUUUCCACAGGAGCUCAUAUCAUUUUAAGUUCCCACCAAUAGUGCCAAGAGUUUCAUUUGCUCCACAUCCUCACCAACACUUGUUACUUCCUAUUUGUUUUUUCAGUAGCAACCAUCCUAAUGAAUGUGAGGUGGUGUCUCAUUGUAGUUUUGAUUGAUUUUCAUUUCCUAAAUAAACAGUGGUGUUUAAUUUCUCGUGUGUGUUUUGGCCAUUUAUAUACCUUUGGAAAAAUGUAUUCAAGUUCUUAGCCCAUUUUUGAACCGAGUUGUUUGGUUUUGUUGUUGUUGAGUUUUGAGAGUUCUCUAUAUAUUCUGGAGAUUAAUCCUUUAUCAAGUACAUGAUAUGCACAUAUGCAGAUACUUUCUCCCACUCAGAGGGUUGUCUUUUAACUCUGUGGGUAGUGUUUUGAUGCACAAAAUUUAAAAAUUUUCACAAAGUCCAAUUUGUUUAUUUUUCCUUUGGUUGCCAGUGCCUUUGUUGUUAUAUCAAGAAAUCACUGCAAGAUCCAAUGCUGUGAAGCCUCUGCCCUAUCUUUUCUUCUAUGAGUUUUAUAGUUUUAGGUUUUACAUUUAGAUCUUUGGUCCAUUUUGAGUUAAUUUUUGUGUACGGUGUUAGGUAAGGGUUGAACGUCAUUCUUUUGCAUGGUGGAUAUCCAGUUUUACCAGCAUCAUUUGUUGAAAAGACUGUCACUUCCCCCAUUGAAUAGUCUUGGCACCCUUGUCAAAAAUUGUUUGACCAUGUAUACAAAGGUUUAUAUUAUGUUUCAUUGGUCUUUUUGUCUUUUUUUUAUGCUAGUGCCAUACUAGCAUUGUCAUAAAUUUUAAAACCACGAUGUAUAAGUUCUCUAGCUUUGUUCUUCUUUAUUCAAGAUUGUUUUGGCCCUUCAGAGUCCCUUGAGAACUCAUAUGAAUUUUAGGAUGACUUUUUCUAUUUCUGCAAAAAUAUUAUUUGAGAUAUUGAUAGAGAUGGCACUGAAUCUAUAGAUUGUUUUGGGUAGAAUGGACAUCUUAACACAACUAACUUUUCCAGCCCAUUAAGAUGGGAUGUGUUUCCAUUUAUUGAGCUAUUGCUUAUUUUCAUUCAGUG